CAAGCUAUUUUACUCAGUUCUAGCAAUUCCUGAUUCUUCAUAACUUUUGUUGGUAUUGUGGCUAAUCAAGGGGUAUUUUGCAUGCCUUUUACUUGCAACUUAUCAUGGAACUUCCCACUAUCAAGAAACCUCAUCAGUUAUGAUGAUGAUGAUGAUGAUGAUGAUGAUGAUGAGCAUAGUACAAAAUUAAAACCUCAUGUAGUAAAUUUAUGCUGCCACAUCCCUUUUGUGUCCCCAUGUUCUGACCAAUCCCCAUAUCCCUUAGCUUUGGAGGCCAAGAAACUGAGUCUAUACAUGUGGAAUCAAUCUUUAGAUGUAGAUUUAGAUUUGAUUUGGAGUGAAAUUAAUGUUGAAAAUUGCAAUUGGUUUGGUUUGAUUAGAUCAUAAAAAAUAAUGCAAUUUUCAGGACAUCUUCUGGAUCUAAAAUUGACAUCUAUCAUGAACACAAUAAAAAAUGGUGAAGUUGUAUUCAUCUCCAAAAUAAUGUAAUGAGUUGCAGAGUGUUUUAAAACAUUAUACAAACUGUUAUUGUUAAAAUAAUACAUCAAAAUGGGUUUGCCUUGUUGCCUUGACAAAUAUUUCCACUCAGAGCAUCAUGCCAAAUAAAAAUGAAGCAUAUCUCUUACUGCAGCAGUUUCUUCUUUUUUCCCCUAAAAGAGAAUAAGAACUAAGUUGUUAUUUCAAGUUGAAUUUAUAACAGACAUUGUAGUACAAAAAAGAUUGGAACGUUGGAAUUUCUCUCCAUAGAAUCAGAUUUACAAGUUUUGGCAAUCUAAGUUAGUCAUUGGCCAUCAUGUUUCUUUUUUCUAUGUACAUCAUAAUUCAUAAAAUAAAAUAAAAAAGGUUAAGAAAUCAGGAAUAUGCAGAACUUCAAGUCAUUUUGAGGAGGUAUAUCCUUUUACCUUGUUAUCAUUUUGAGCUUUGUAAAUCAAUGAAGGAGAACGAACAACAAACACUGGAUGGAUAUAUUCAACAAGUCAUCUUCUUCUUCUGCCAAUCAGCAGCAGAAGAACAAACUUGAACGAAGAAAAGCAGCAGCAGAUCUGCUUUCAGUGGUAGCCUUUUCUGUGGUUUUCAGCACCUACGCACUUUGGCAUUUACUUUAUGUGACCACGACACUGGGUUUGUGCUGAAAGGGGGAAAGGAAGAGAUAAUUCCAAGUCGCUCCCCAUCUUUUCAGGCUUCCUGGCCACAUGACACCACCACGCAGAACAAAUAGCUCCCACCUUUUCCUUUCCCCCACUCUGCCUCAGCUUUUGCUUUUCUGCGUGCAGGAUUCCAUUAGGUGGAGUGCUUCCAUGGGCUCUACCAGGAGACGAGGAGAAAAUACCAAGCCGUCGCUCUCCCACACCUGUAGUUGACAGGGGACGCCCUCGGUGGCUGCCUUUUGGUCUGUAGUUCCAAGUGCAGGGUUGCAAUCCAUGGCUUGUGUGCAGUGAGAGGACAUCUCGUUCUGCGCUGUGACCUUUGCUUGGAUUCCCUGCCAGCUCGGGUUGUGUAGGCCAGCAAAGGGAGGUGCAUCUUCCUUUCAUGUGGAGCGUCAUGUCCUCCUCCCCAGGCCGGAAGGAGAUUUUUGGAGGGAUUUGGCAUAUCCUAACUCAUGCAGGUUCUGAACAUGACCUCCCAUUUCCACGCUCGAGCUUUUGCAGCGCUUCAUGUUGUUUGUGAAGCUAACAAGAGAUUUCAAUCUGGAGAACCAUGAAGGACUGGGAUUGUCGAAUGGCUGCGGGUUAAAUCGAGGUUGCUCCGCUCCCAUGGAUUAGUUGUCGGUCUCUUUUGAAAGCCAAAGCAUCCUUCACCAGUUGAUCGUCAAAUCUUCUCCAGACCUGCAGUUUCUGCUUUACGGUCUUCUCUAUUCCGUCCCACAGUAACAAUUUUGGUUAGCAAGUAUGAUGCAGCCGGUACACGUACUGUCGAAUGACGACUCAUUCCGAACAUAAUAAUCAUCGACUCACAGUUGGUUGAAGUCAGCGUACCUUGUCGUAAGCCAGAAUUUGGAACAAGAACAUGGAAGGAUGAUGUUGCGACUGGCUAAGGUUUCUGCAGGACAUAAUGGAUGUAUAACUCUGGCUACCACUAGAGCUCCAAUUGCAGCUCAUGAUUUUUGCACCGCAAGUCUGAAAAAUAAGAAUGAGUUGAUGUCAGUGGUCCACACGAUCAUGAAGCAGACACUUUCUAAAGUAAGCAGAGAACAGCUCAGGAGACCUGUUGACAUACUUGGUUCUUGUUUUGCAGGAUGCAAGAGCUUUUUGAGGGGAAAUAUCAACGUCUUCAGAAUGCAAGAGAUUAAAGUUCUUUAUCGGAAAGAAAGUAAGAGAUGGAGUGAGAGAGAAGACCUCGUAAAGUUAAAGGGAAUCCCUCACCUACAUAUCAGUGUAAGAAGACUUUAAACUCCACUGGAUGUGAACUUGAAGUCAAGAUCUGGCAAUGGUGAAAUCAACAUGGGAACAUGAAAUGCACAGUCCCUUAUCAUUUUUGAGGCAGCUUCCUUUUUUGCUUGUUCUAAUCAAAUCAGUCUUUUUUUUGUCAAUCUCACAAAAAAAGAACUGAGCUCAGGAGCUGUCCCAACUCUCUUGGCAAAUCCCUACCUACAAAGUUCACUUGGGGUGAGUUGGGACUUGGCUAGUCUCAUCUUCCAUCCACCUACCACCUCCAUUGUUCAUAACCUGCAGCCAUUUCAAUUUUCCCAGUCUCCUACUUGUAUUGAAAAUACAGUUCCUCAUCUAAUGCUUGGUUGUUGGAUGCAUGGUUAAAGAAGCACAUGCAACAUGUGAACCAAACAUAGAGUACAUGCAUUUGUAAUAUAUGAAUAAACCAUCAUAAAUAUGUCUUUUUAGGAUAGAAUGUUGAAGGUGUCAAAAGUUUUAGAAAGCAUGUGCAACAAAUGUCUUCCACUUUCAAACUUAUAAGACAAUGGGCACAGGAAACAACAUUUGAGGUGGUUA